CCUACGGGUGGCAGCAGUGGGGAAUAUUGCACAAUGGGGGAAACUCUGAUGCAGCGACGCCGCGUGCGUGAAGAAGUAAUUCGUUAUUUAAAGCUCUAUCAGCAGGGAAGAAAAUGACGGUACCUGAGUAAGAAGCCCCGGCUAACUACGUGCCAGCAGCCGCGGUAAUACGGAGGGGGCAAGCGUUAUCCGGAUUUACUGGGUGGAAAGGGGGUGUAGUCGGCAGUGCAAGUCUGGGGUGAAUGGCGGGGGCUCAACCCCCGGACUGCUGUGGAAACUGUACGGCUGGAGAGCAGGAGAGGUAAGUGGAAUGCAUGGUGUAGCGGUGAAAUGCGUAGAGAUUAGGAGGAACACCAGUGGCGAAGGCGGCUUACUGGACAGUAACUGACGUUGAGGCUCGAAAGCGUGGGGAGCAAACAGGAUUAGAUACCCGGGUAGUC
rnacentral:rRNA from 1 species